rnacentral:lncRNA from 1 species
AGGGACCUCAUCUCAACGAGGAAGAAAAUCCUUGUCAAAAAUUUCCAGUCCCUAAGGGGAAACCCAACACUAGUAGGAGAAAAUAGACCUCCUCAAAGUAACGAGAAGUUCGGACCCCAAGCUCGAACAUCGGAAAGUGUUAAACUUGAGUGGUCUCGAAAAGAUCUUUGGUCAUGAACAAAAAGGAUGAGUCAACACAGCGAUGAUCAGGAACCUUCAAACAACGUCGACAUCAAAGAAGACAAAAGACAAG